GACAGAGGGUGCAAACGUUGUUCGGAAUUACUGGGCGUAAAGCGCGUGUAGGCGGCGUGGCUAGUCGGGUGUGAAAGCCCGAGGCUCAACCUCGGAACUGCCUUCGAUACUGCGGGUCUCGAGUCCGGGAGAGGUGAGUGGAAUUCCUAGUGUAGAGGUGAAAUUCGUAGAUAUUAGGAAGAACACCAGUGGCGAAGGCGGCUCACUGGCCCGGUACUGACGCUGAGGCGCGAAAGCGUGGGGAGCAAACAGG
rnacentral:rRNA from 1 species